UUCAACUUUUAUAUGUGAUAUUUUGUACUAAUGUCAACAAUCUAUAUAUAUAUAUAUUAUAUAUAUAGAGAGAGAAAUAAAAAAGACAAAAAGAAAAAGGAAAAGAUGUCAUUCUAAUUGAUCUAAGCUUGAUGUGGACAUUAUUAGAAUCUUGAAUUGUGGUGUGCCCAUUAGGUUCCACAAAGAAUGAAACUCUAUGGGAAUAUAAAAUUGUAGGCAAAAAGAAGCCAAGGAGUAAAGAUGGGGUUAAUGGCUCUUCAAUUUUCUUUUCAAACCAAACAAUAUAUAUAUAUAUAUAUAUAUUUCUUUGUUCUUCUGAAUUUAAAUCAUCAAUCUCCAAGUAAAGCUCUUAGCAUCUCCACCAACCAAAAAAAGAAACCUAAUGCCUAGGAGGAGCUAAGGGCUGA
rnacentral:lncRNA from 1 species